UACGGAAGGGGCUAGCGUUGCUCGGAAUCACUGGGCGUAAAGGGUGCGUAGGCGGGUUUUAAGUCAGGGGUGAAGUCCUGGAGGCUCAACUCCAGAACUGCCUUUGAUACUGAAGAUCUUGAGUCCGGGAGAGGUGAGUGGAACUGCGAGUGUAGAGGUGAAAUUCGUAGAUAUCUGGAGGAACACCAGUGGCGAAGGCGGCAUCCUGGAACGGUACUGACGCUGAGGCGCGAAAGCG
rnacentral:rRNA from 1 species